rnacentral:lncRNA from 10 species
AAUUUAAUACCAGCAAAUGCAUAAUUAAUGAAUUACCUGUAAACAGAAUAUAUAAAAUUCUCAAAUCAAUGAGAAAAAAACAAUGAGAAAAAAAGACAACUUAACUUAAAAGUGUAUAAUACUUGAAGCAGCACUUUGCAAUUAGGACAUCCUCUGGCUAGUGAUAAAUUCUGUUGAGGAAAUUCGUGAAGAACUGACCUGAAUAAAGUGGAGUUGGACAGUGGCAGACAUUAAACUAAGACAGUUAAUACCAUGCAUUCCACGGCCAAAUUAUUCAGGCUUUCAGAAAAACCUAUAAUUAAGCAAGUUUUUUUGUUUGUUUGUUUGUUUUAUACUUCUAGUCAGCCUACUCAAGGGCAAAUGCCACAAUCUUCAAUUUUUACAUUUUCUUACGUUUUCAUCAUAAUUUUGAAACAUGUUAACAUGUAUGCCUAUAUAUUGUUGUUACGCAGAUUGCACAUUAUCCAGGCAUAAUUAUGUGUUAAUUCCAUGGCUUACCCAACACUCAAUUAUCUAACAUUAAAAAUUCUUGGCAUUAUUUUAUAUGCUUUUCUUAUUGUUUUCCAUAAUUACUUCUUGACAGGUGUAGAACUAUUCUAAAAUGUACUCUCUUAGUCUUUUUUAGUUUAUUUAAAAUACUACUACUUUCAUCUUUUUUCUUGAAUCUCAAAAAUGAAAAUAAAGGUCUCACUAUUAAUUUUAUGAUCUCCAUUUUAUGGCACAUGUAUUUUCCACUUCGUAGCCUACAUUUUUUCACAAUUAAAAUGUAGUAUUUUAAAUGCAUAUUUUUGUCUGAAUGACCCCGGAAAUUACUAUGUAGGAAUAAGCAGAAAGACUUUUGCAGGCUUAUUUUUGAGGAGUGAGUGGCAGGCAGGGUUUGUAGGCUAGAAAUAGGCUGUUAGAAGUUUGAUUACAGUAGUUUGUCUUUAAUUGUCAUUUUGCUUUCUGCGGUUUCAGCUACCCAUUGUCAAGUGUGUUCCAAAAAUGUUAAACUACAAUAUUCCAGAAAUCAGCAAUUCAUAAGUUUUAAAUUGCAUGCUCUUCUUAGUAGCAUGAUGAAAUCUUGUGCCCUCCUGCUCUGUUCCCUUUUAAUCACAAAACAGGUGAUAUGGUUUGGCUCUGUGUCCCCGCCCAAAUCCCACAUUUAGUUGUCGGAGUAUUGGAGGUGAGGCUUGUGGGAGGUGAUUGGAUCAUUGGGGUGGUUAAUAACAGUUUAGCACCAUCCCCCUAGUGCUGUCUGGUGAUAGAGUUUUCACAAGAUCUGGUUGUUUAAAAAUGUGUAGCACUUUCCCCUUUGCGCUCUCUCUCUCAUCUGCUCUGGGCUUUUGAAGACUGACUGCUUCCCCUUCACCUUCUGCUGGGUUUUCCUGAGGCCUCUCCAGCCAUGCUUUCUGUACACCUGUGGAACUGUGAGUCAAUUAAACCUCUUUUCUUCAUAAAUUUCCCCGUCUCAGAUAUGUCUUUAUAGCAGUGUGAGAACAAGCUAUUAAUACAGACAAUUGGUACUGGGAGUUGGGCAUUGCAAUAAAGAUACCUGAAAAAUGUGGAUGUGACUUUCAAACUGGGUAAUGGAUGGAGGUUUAAACAGUUUGGAGGGCUCAGAAGAAGAUAGGGAGAUGAGGGAAAGUUGCAACUUCCUGGAGAACUGUUGAGUGGUUGUGACCAAAAUGCUGGUAGUGAUAGAGACAGUGAAGUCCAGGCUGAUGCGGUCUCAGAUGUAGAUAAUGCUUGAACAUUAUAUUACCACUUAAUCCUACAGCAAAGCCCAGACUUCCUGAACUCUUCCUCUAAUGCAUAU